GAAGUCCCGACUGGAAGGUUCUCCAAUGGCCACACCCUGCUCAAGGCCACUUCACAAAAAAAAAACUCUUGUCAGUGAACACAGUUGAGCACACUAUAACACUGUUCCCCCAGAAUACUCCAUUCUAUGGUCUGUAUUCUAAGGUACUUAUUAACCAUAAUCUUUCUUUUUCACUGUAUCCGUGGUACAAAUAAAAUCCUUAUUUUUGUAUACAUCAUUAAAGUCUAACCUUAGACUUAUGGAAAUGAAGUCCUUUCCUUACAAAACAGUGAUGUGUCAUUUAGUCACUGAAGCACCUCCAGCCAUAGCACUAAGAAUCUCAGAGAAACACAAGCUGUGUUUUUCUUUUCUUCCACAAAAGUACAUAUCAUGUUGCAUUUGUUCAAGAAACAUGGUCUCAUAGAUACUAACUAUAGCCAUUCACACACAAAGCAGAAUUUAAUUUGUUAAUUAUUCCAAUGUUUUAUUAAUGAUGGUGUUCCCCACACUGUAAACAGAUUUAUCCUUCCAGCUUUAAUUAAAGCUCUUGGGAGCAUUUUCCUCAAAACAACUGUGACUUUCCCUGAUUAAAAUGCCAGGAGAUUAAAAAAAAAAAAAAAAAAAAAAGCAAAGCUACAGCAAGAGACACAAGACUGGGUGGGAAAUGAACUCUGCUGAUCCCAGAUAAAUAAAAAUGGCAGCAGGGAAUAAUCGAUUAUGACCACUGCCACCCCCAACCCCCAGUGAUUUCAGAAAAAGAAUUAUUUGAUAAGCCAGCUUAUUCUGAAACUUCAUUCUUCUCUAAAUAGGAAAGCAUUGUCUUUUGUAGGAAAAGAAAUUUUGUAACACCCUAUUUAUGGCUCCAAAGGAGCAGAAAGCAGUUGGCUUCAUAGCCACAUUCUGUUUGUUUCGUAAGUUAGCCCUAGUGUGGAUUAUUCACACCUGAACAAACCUCUAGGAAAACAGUAGUCAGUUAUAACUUGCUGGCAUUGGAAUCUGAGGGAACCUGAAGCAUGGGACAAGGACUGGGCAGAUAGCUGUGCAAGCAUGAGGCCUUGAGUUGCCCCCUGAUCCUAUGUUAAAAAGCCUUCUAUAAUGGAAGUUGUCUGCAAUCUCAGCACUGGUGAGGAGGAAAUAGGAGGACCCCUGGGGCUUGCUGCUAUCCCUGUCUAGCCCAUUUGGAGAACUCCAGGAAAGUGAGAAAUUCUGUCUCAAAAAAACAAGGUAGACAGACUCAUGCUUCAUCUCUGACUUCUGCACACACACCAUAUACACACAAGCAUUGAAUUGUCUUUUAAGAGAAGACAAAACCAGUUGGACUUCUUUCAAGGACCAAACGAAAUAAAUGUUUCAUCCUUCAAUCAACAUUAAUAUACAUUUUAAUCAUCUUUUAGGUAGGAAAAGGUGCUUGCUUAUCCAGUUCCAAGAGAUGGAUUGGAAGUCCUUGCUUUGCAACCUUGAGAGUAUUCUUCAAAUUGAAAGUUAGAAAGUGACGUGAUUUAUCAUAAAGAUGUAGACAGCUAUUUAUGUUAACAAAUUUUAGACAGUGUUUUCUUUCCCUUUGUGCUUUCUGGACCGAUCCUUUGUUCUCAGUGCUAAGUAUGGAACAGGUACCUCAUUUGAAAUCAUUUUCAAGUUUCUAGAAAUUGCCAGCAUCUUUUGGGUUUACAAUCUGUAAUGCUUUCUUCAUGAUCUCUUCCAUCUGCCAAAUUGACUAAUCCAGAAUGUGUAUACAGCAGGGUUAUUCUGACUGUAAACACUCUGUGUUUAUACACCAAACACUCUAGGGGGUGCAUUAACUCAUUCAGAUCAUUAGCAAAUUGCUGAAAUUACAAUAAAAUGAUACUUUAUAAAUCUGUAACUAGAGAACUGACAGAAAUAGCUCACUAGGUUUCCCAAAUGUGGAAUGGUGCCUGUAAAAUAUAGUCUUAGCCAAAUUAGGAGAGUACAGGUGUUCAGUUCAGUGUGCAUUCGUGUGUGUGUGUGUGUGUGUGUGUGUGUGUGUGUGUGUGUGUUACAACUAAUAUUAGUACUCUAAAUGUUUGCCUGGAAGGUAUAUAAAUUUUACUUUAAAAUAUUCCUCCAGGUCAAUCUUGGCAAGUCCUUUUACUCUGAACCUACAGACUUCUAUUUACCAAAUAGACCAGUUUUUUGCACAGGUCUGAUACUUAGGCUGUGUUCACAUCAAAACCCAGGAGUUCAUUGUUGCAGAAGCUCCUGUCUCCUGAGCCACAUUUCCUAAAAUUGUCUUCCAGACUUUAGUCUUUAAGAUUGCAGGUCAUUUGAAGGUCAUAAAUAGAGAUACAUUAAAUUCAGAGUUUCAGGGUUUUAUUAUUGUGGGUAAGCAGAAAUUCAUGUAACAUAAUUGUUUCAAUAUUUUAGCUGACUAUUUUGUCCUGUAGAAGUUACCAAGAUGGUUUAAAUAAUUUUGGUUAAGUUGACCACUUAAUUCUGUUUUAGAAAUCAGACAAAUGAUUUUGCUAAUGGGUAUUUCAUGUCAGCGCUCCCUGGAGAGCAUGAAUAAUGUUUGCAAAUAAUGUUGAAAGGCCCACUGUUGUUCAUUUAGAACUGUGCUGAAAGGGUAUGUGCAGUUUUGCCUUCUCAUUACUGUAAUGACAGUGUCUUUUUUUGAACCUACAUUCACAGUUACAUCCUAGAAGAUAUUGUUUCUCCUUCCUAGGACACCUCAACUCAAAGUGUAGGACCAAAAGUUGGUGUUAACAUCAUUUCUUUUGUUUGCCCAGGCCCAAAGACCCAGAGAUUUGCAAGACCAUGCAUCAAAUGAGAAUGUUAACACCCAUGUUACUACCCAGCUCUUAAUAAGCUAUGUAGAGUGUGUAUCCAUCUGAUAUCUUGAAGAACAAUAGAGCUUUGAGUCCCAGCUGGCCUCUGCUUAGUCACCGGUUGGAAGGUGAUAUAUAGUAACUAGAGUCAUCACUGCAGAAGCUACAAUUUUGACACAGGACUGGACAGUAUGUGAACAAGUUUCUUAGUGUGGGCAGGACUCAAACUGUAUAGGAUAGGUUGGUUUUGGGCAUAGGGACUUCUCUGUGACUGGCAGGUUGAUGAACAGUGCUCCUGGGCUAUGCCCAAGUGGGCCAUGCGCCUUUUCACAUAAUAGUUCUGACUACAAAAAGACAUCAUGUAGAUGUUUAUUUUUUUAUGCCCCGCC
rnacentral:lncRNA from 1 species